UACGUAGGGUCCGAGCGUUGUCCGGAAUUAUUGGGCGUAAAGAGCUCGUAGGCGGUUUGUCACGUCGGCUGUGAAAACCUGGGGCUCAACCCCGGGCCUGCAGCCGAUACGGGCAAACUAGAAUUCGGUAGGGGAGACUGGAAUUCCUGGUGUAGCGGUGAAAUGCGCAGAUAUCAGGAGGAACACCUGUGGCGAAGGCGGCCCCCUGGUUGGAUACUGACGCUGAUACGCGAAAGCGUGGGGAGCAAACAGG
rnacentral:rRNA from 1 species